rnacentral:lncRNA from 1 species
AUCCUUAUAAACAUACCCCAUGGUACCAAACCCACCAACAACAACCAAAAGCAAAACACCUGCCAAGAUGGAGCCUUUAACAGCAGUGUCCCCCUCUAAUCCCUCACUCUCAGCAUCCAUCCCAUUUCCCUGAAUCCUAUUGUUAUUAUCAUCAUCAUCGCCCUUGGGGUUAAAGAACCAGCCCAAGCUCCGGGGAGCAUUGGUGGUGCUCUUCUGAAGGGUGUUUUGUUUCUUGGUCUGCUUCAAAGAUGAGCAUGGUUUGACGAAAUGGAAGCGCCUGUGAGGCUUGAAGCUGUGGAUGAAUGAAUUGGAAGAUGUGAGGAAGCAGGAGGGUGGCUGAUGGCAAUGGUAUUGUGGGCGCAAGACGAGCGUCCGCAUUGUGG